rnacentral:rRNA from 1 species
UACGUAGGGAGCAAGCGUUGUCCGGAAUCAUUGGGCGUAAAGCGCGCGUAGGCGGCCUCGUAAGUCCGUUGUGAAAGUCAAAGGCUCAACCUUUGAAAGCCGAUGGAUACUGUGAGGCUAGAGUCCGGAAGAGGCGAGUGGAAUUCCUGGUGUAGCGGUGGAAUGCGCAGAUAUCAGGAAGAACACCAAUGGCGAAAGCAGCUUUCUGGGACGGUACUGACGCUGAGACGCGAAAGCGUGGGGAGCGAACAGG